rnacentral:tRNA from 1 species
GAGGGUAUAGCUCAAGUGGCAGAGUGCAUGCUUAGCAUGCAUAAGGUCCUGAGUUCAAUCCCCAGUGCCUCUU